CACGUAGGUGGCGAACGUUAUCCGGAAUUAUUGGGCGUAAAGGAUGCGUAGAUGGUGUAGUAAGUUAUCGGUGGCAAAUCGAGGCUCAACCUCGUGGAAGUCGGUAAUACUGCUAUGCUAGAGGAUAGGAGAGGUUAACGGAACUCCCUGUGGAGCGGUGAAAUGCGUAGAUAUAGGGAAGAACACCAAUAAGGCGAAGGCAGUUAACUAUUCUAUUCCUGACAUUGAGGCAUGAAAGCGUGGGGAGCAAAACGG
rnacentral:rRNA from 1 species